rnacentral:tRNA from 1 species
GCCUGGGUGGCUCAGUCGGUUGGGCGCCCGACUUCGGCUCAGGUCAUGACCUUGCAUCCGUGGGUUCAAGCCCCACGUUGGGCU